CCUACGGGGGGCAGCAGUGGGGAAUAUUGGACAAUGGGGGAAACCCUGAUCCAGCCAUGCCGCGUGUGUGAAGAAGGCCCUCGGGUUGUAAAGCACUUUCAGUGAGGAAGAACGCCUGGUGGUUAAUACCCAUCAGGAAAGACAUCACUCACAGAAGAAGCACCGGCUAACUCCGUGCCAGCAGCCGCGGUAAUACGGAGGGUGCGAGCGUUAAUCGGAAUUACUGGGCGUAAAGCGCGCGUAGGUGGCUUGAUAAGCCGGUUGUGAAAGCCCCGGGCUCAACCUGGGAACGGCAUCCGGAACUGUCAAGCUAGAGUGCAGGAGAGGAAGGUAGAAUUCCCGGUGUAGCGGUGAAAUGCGUAGAGAUCGGGAGGAAUACCAGUGGCGAAGGCGGCCUUCUGGACUGACACUGACACUGAGGUGCGAAAGCGUGGGUAGCAAACAGGAUUAGAUACCCCAGUAGUC
rnacentral:rRNA from 1 species